rnacentral:rRNA from 1 species
GCCCACCCGUAAACUUAGAUAAUUCAAUCCAAUAAAUAUCCGCCCGGGGACUACGAGCGCCAGCUUAAAACCCAAAGGACUUGGCGGUGCUUCAGACCCCCCUAGAGGAGCCUGUUCUAGAACCGAUAACCCCCGUUCAACCUCACUACUCCUUGCUCUUCCCGCCUAUAUACCACCGUCGCCAGCUUACCCUGUGAAGGCACCACAGUAAGCAAAAUGAGUAUUUCUCAGAACGUCAGGUCGAGGUGUAGCGUACGAAGUAGGAAGAAAUGGGCUACAUUACCUAAAAUAGGUUAACUUACGAACGGCCAUCUGAAAUUAAUGACCCGAAGGUGGAUUUAGCAGUAAAGAAGGAAUAGAGUGCCUUCUUGAAGCCGGCUCUGAAGCGCGCACACACCGCCCGUCACUCUCCCCAACAACCGCACUUACCAAAGUAAAUAACAAACUUAUGGUCACAAGGGGAGGCAAGUCGUAACAUGGUAAGUGUACCGGAAGGUGCACUUGGAAUAAC